GGAGAGGUGGGUGAGUGGCUGAAACCAACGGUUUGCUAAACCGUCGUACGGGGUAAACUCUGUACCGCGGGUUCGAAUCCCGCCAUCUCCG
rnacentral:tRNA from 1 species